GCAAGCCCUCUGGGUGCAUUUCUCUCUCUCUCUCUCUCUCUCUCUCUCUAUAUAUAUAUAUAUAUAUAUAUAGAGAGAGAGAGAGAGAGAGAGAAAUAUAUGUAUUCAUAUAUAAUGGG